rnacentral:lncRNA from 1 species
CACACCAGCUCUACUUUUAAAAACUUUAUUGUGAAAAAGUGUGUCAUGUUACCCCAGCAGCAGCCUAAAUCCACUGUUAAUGUUGCCAGUAAGAGGUCAAGUUGAGUGACUGACUUGGACACAAAAUUUAAAAUGAUUAAGGGCGAUGAAGUGAUUACUCACCAGUCAGACAUGUCCCAUUCCACCAUAGCAAUGAUCUUGAAGAACUAGAACAAGGAGAUUAACAAAAUUUCAGAAGGGCCUAUAUUAGAUAUGGAGAAACUUCUAAAGUCCUCGGUUGAAGACCUGACAGAGAAAUGUGUCCGUUUCAGCACCAUGAUGAUCAUGGCCAAAAGAAAAAUUUUGCUAUGUUGAAGAAAAGACUCACCCCAACUACUAUGUUGAAUUUACUUCCAGCUCUGA